rnacentral:lncRNA from 1 species
CAAUAAUGUAGCCUCGAAUUAAUAGAAAGAAUAAAUAAUUACUUAGAGUGCAAGGAUCCUGCUUAUUUGUAGUUAUCAAAGAAAUCAAUAUCUUAUUUAUCUCUUUUCAUUUAGAUAAUUCGUAUCUAAGGUAUGUAAAAAUAAAAUAAAUCAAAAAAUGACAUUGUUAUCCUGACAAUUUGAGGAAAGUUUGGGUGAAGAGCAGCUUAGCUGUCAUGCCGUUUUACUAGAUUUGCAGGGAGCAUCAAAAUAAACACAGAUUCUACCUAGCAAGGACAUAAAUAGGAAUUACGCCGACGUCGAUCCACAAUUCUACUGCGGAUCCAACAAGAACUAACUUAAUGAAAGAAUAAUAUCAACACCUUUAGAAAAUAAAAACAUUCUUCAGAUUACCAACUAGAAAAAAAUAUCGUACGAAUUAAUGUCAUAUUUUAUACAACUUAAUUGAUAUGAUAUUGGUCUAUUAUAACAACCUUGCAUGUUUGGGAUUAUUGUCAACAUAAUGUUUUGGAGGCACGGUGGUAAUUGAUUACAUGAUAUUUCAAAAUGUUGAUAUAUUAUCAUUGUUAUUUCUUAGUGUCAUUUUACAAAGAUUAGAAUUAUAUCUCAAAAAUUGUA